UUGAGAUUUGUAAAACAUAGAAAUUGGAAACUACAACCUUUAUUUGAAAUUUUGAAGAAAUUUUAUGUGAAAAUAUACAGUAGUAGGAGUAGGAACAACGGGAU
ensembl:ncRNA C15F1.13 ncRNA